rnacentral:lncRNA from 1 species
UGAGCAUUGCCACAUCCCAUACUAAACAAGCAACAGAUUGAAAGCUGGGCCAUGUGGGGAGAGAGGUGAACAUCCCUUGGCUUGUGUCCACUGGUCAAAGGGCAGAAGGAAAGGGCUUGGUACCCUGAAAAGGUGGAUGCAGGCUAUGCAAACUGAGCUCCCCAGAUCUGUGGGUAUUUAUAUUUCCAUUUGUCCUUUUGCAUGACAAUUGUGUGUGCGCAAAACGGGGGCUCUGAUUUCACGAGGACAGGAAAGACUUCUCUUGGUACUUGUGAAGCAGUCUGACCAUGUGUUUACAAACUCCAGAAGAAAGACAUGAGCGGAUGAACAGUUUAUUACGCAGAGCAGCUCUGUGAGCAUGCAGGCAGCGUGGCACGGGGUGUAGGACCACUAACGAGAGCCUGAAGGUUGAUUUUCCCUGCUCUGUCAGCGGGUCGGGUCAGGCUGCCAGGGCUCUGCAGCAACCUCAAGGAUCUGCGCUGGGGGUCGCCUCCGGAGGAGCCACAGCCCUGCAGGCCUGAGUUGUGAGCAAAGGUCGCCGAGUCUGCGUGGGACGUCCGUGUCCCUCAGGUGUUCCUGCUCGCCACGGAGACUGCUGAGUCUGCGCCCUGCCCCAGGCCGAGAGCUGCCUGAUGGGGUCAGACUGCAGGUGGCUGAACUGAAGGUCUCUGCGUGACGGUGGGAGUGCUGCCCUUGCGGUUCCCUGUGGUUAUAUCUGCGUGGUCUCUAGGUUAUAGAAGGUAAUUUUGUCUAAGUAGAUGGUAAACAUUAAUAAAAUCCAGUUCUUCAAGCUGACUGUGUUUAAU